CUGCCCUGCUCCACCCUGCUCCGCCCCUCCGCGUGUGGGGAAACUCUUAAUUGCCUCGUUCAAUGCGGCACUUUUGUUAUGAGGAGAACGUGACGGGAGAUGUUUUUCACCGUUUAUAAACCCGACUGCAGUUUUCGUACGUGCUCGGUUUCCCAGGCAACCUGCCCACUGCAGCCUUUUCCGGUGGCUUUUCCUGCUCGCCUGUUCAUCAUCGUUUUCUCCGGGGAGGUUCCGCGGCCUGAAGCUCCUGUUUACAGCCCGGGGCCAGUGUUCGUAAAGUACUGAUCUUGGAUAGGUCUUGAGCAUUUCGCUGACAAGAGGAAAGGGUUAGGAUGCUCAUAGAAGUCGCGGCUCGCUGGCGGCUCUGUGUUCCUAACAUUAAAAGAGGGAGAGGACACACGCAGCCCCCGGGCCCUUGGCGGCGAGCGGAACACUGUGACUGGGCUGGUCUGGGUCAGGCGCAGUCCCUGUCAGACGGGGUGGACAGAAUCAGCGGCUGAGGGCCAGGACUCAGCUGACGAGCCGCGGGAAGGUAGUGAGAGGUUGUGACACACAACCUACGCAAUGAACUUACCUUGCAUGAGGACCGCCCCGCCCCGCCACUCAGUGGAUGACCCCCGGGGGGCGCUGCUCCAGAGAGCCGCGCGGCCACUUCAAAGGAAAGGACAGGAAACCCCCCCCCCCCCUGGUCGAAGGUGGCGGAGGAUCUGGAUCGGGAACGUGGGGAAAUGAUCCAGUUUUUCAGUUUAAGAGCUGAAACGGAUGAAAGGCGCUUCAGUGCAUCACUCCCACUAGCGAUUCCCUCGGCAUCAUGGGAGGCGCGC